UAUGGCCAUAUCACAUUAAGACACUAAUUCUCAUAAGAUCACCAAAGUUAAGCAAUGUUGAGUCUGGUCAGUACCUACAUGGGUGACUGCUUGGGAAUAUCAAGUGCUGUAAG